GCUAAGGAUUGAUGUGCUUUUGAGUGCGAACUCGGAUCCGUUGCUGCUCCAAACCAGACAAUUCGGAGGAGGAACGCGAGUCUCCCUGCGAUGCCAAGGAAGAAGAAAGUAUGCGCUCCAGACGAAGAUGUCUAGCUUGCCUGUGUGCUGUAACAUUAAUGAGUGCGUUGGGCCCAACGUUUUCUGUCAUCGGAACCUUGAUGAUUU